GGAUUUACCCUUUUCUGGCCGCUUUUUAGGGAGGAAGCACAGAACACAGAUGCAAACUCGGACCCUUUGGCUUACACGCUGGGGCCACGGUUCAGCUAGCUCUUUUUCUGCUUGCCUUUAAGUUUAUGGCAGGUGUGUGUGCGCGCGCGUUGAUAAUUCUGGGACGUAAAUGGGGGCUUGCCUGCGGCCCCUGCUUCUGGGUUAUUGUUGCUGUUUUAAAAGCCUGUCAAGGAAGCUCUCACAGCUACAUGUUCUUGGCAGAGCAGGUUUAGGUCUCAACUGGCAGCCCGAGUUUCAAAAGCCAAUAGUCUUUGGGAACCUACGGGAUUUAGAAGACAGGUCCAGGACAGAUGUGGAGAAGCUGGUCCGCCGUGGUGGGCGCUUCUAAUACAGGAGGAGGAACACAGUUGCUUUUGCCCUGGUUCACUGGCCAGCCAGCGGCCAUUGGAACACAGUGAAUGCUGGGGUCCUGGGGCCUUUCAAACACUCCAAAGUUGUUUUUUUUUUUUUGUUGUUGUUGUUUUUUUUUUUCCUAACAGUGCCUUUGUUCCAGCUCCUCCUGUCCCUUGGUGUAUUUUGCUUACAAAUAAUCACCAAGAGACGGUGAAGGCUGGGGGAAUCUGCAACUUCACUGAGAUUUCUCUUCUAUGAGAGCAUCUGUAGCUGUCACUUUACAAAAUAUUUGCAGGCUAUUUUAGCUACUGAAGCUUUUUGGAGAAGCGCCCCCCUUCCCCUCCCUCCCUGCCCUCCCCCCCCCCCCCCCCCCCCCCGACUCUGUAACUCUUAACUGGAAAGACUGAGGUUAGCCUGCUGGGUUUUGCAAGGUGGGGUUAGGGUUUCUGGCUGGCUUUUCAGUCUUCCCCCAUUCCUAACCUGGAGCAAACAAUAAGCCUGAAGUUAAUUCAAACCAGGGCUGUGUGUAUCUGGUUAAGUGUUUCUGAGAGUGUGCUCUGGGGGACAGAGGGAUUUGCCCUGCAGAGACAGAGGGCAAGAAUGCUGUGUGACUGUUUUGAAUGAAGCUCUCUUCCACAUGAAUCACUUCACACUCCUCGUUUUAGAAAUAAACUAGUGUGGAUACUUGUAGGUUCCUUUUUAAGUCCUUGUUUAAUUUCGCCUAAGAUAAUUGGAAAGAUAUUUGUGUAACCAGAUUUAGGUCUAUUUUGAUAAGGGUCAAGUUAUUUCAUAUAGUAGAAUGUAGUCUUUUAUUAUUUUUGUUUACUCUUCUAAAGUAGAUGUGGAUAAAAAGUAUCAAACUGAUCUUGGUUUCAUAGGAAUUUAAACAAUUGAGGCACAACUCAUUUGCCCUUAAGAAGUUUAGAGACCUAGCCUGUGAAUCAGCCAUUUUGGAAAAACGAACCUUAUUGCACACAUGCUAGUUGGUUUCAUGUUUAUCCAGUGUGUCUUAGUGCUUGUCCCUCCGGCCCCCUUCCCGUCACUCCCCUCUCCCCCCCAAUCUUUCAAGGGGUUGGUUUAUGCAGGCGAGCACUCUACCACUUGAGGCACACCCUUAGCUCUUGGUUUUUAAAUCCACUGUAGAAUUAAAAGUAAGCAAUACAACAAAACGAAGAGCUGGUGUUGUACCCUAUUAGUAGAAUGAUUGCCUAGCAUGCCAGAGGCCUUCCACUCCAGAAUCCUUGGGCAGGGCAAAUGAUUAUAAUUAACAAAGGGACUGUUGUGAAUUUAAAACAUUAAAUGUCUUUUUAAAUUUAAAAACAUUAAGUGAGUUUUUCAGCUCCAGCUAAUGGGUUGACCUCAGUUUGCUGUAUCCUCUGUUUUUUAUUUUUGAAGUUAAUGUCUUCCCAUGUGUGGAGAAUUAAUUUAGGAACUUGGGUAACAACUGCUAGUCUUCCUCCUAAAGCUUUGCUUAUGCUGGAAACAGUUACUUGUUACUGUUUGAAUUGCAGGGUUCCUCUUUUGGAAGACUAGGAGAUAGUAACAAGUGGGGGCAAAUGUUUACUGGACGCUUGCUUCUUCAGUUUAUUAAUAACAACAGAAGCUUUUCCUGCCCUGGCCCCCCACCCCACUACCAGAAUGCGUAGGGUUUUAAAUGUGGUCUUACUAGCCAGUGACGUAGGCCUUACAGGUAGAGUGAAGUGAGCUGACGGAGUACCUUUCUGUUUUUCUGACUUGGGAGCAGUUGAGUGCUAGAAAUCCUUUACUGAAGUGUUUUGCAUAAAGACUUCUGUGUCUCUCUGGAAACUUUAGUGUUCAUCUCCAUUAUAGUUUAGUUUUCACUGACCCUUGAAGCUGUGCAGUUCUUCUUAUCUGGACCCUUCCAUCAUUUCACAGGCUCUGGAAGAGCCAGGAAGUGACCUGGCCCCUAUGUGCGCACUCACCCACCUAUGGCAAGGUGUGGAUUAUUUUGUUAGUGAUUGAUCAUGUGGAUUGCUUUGAUAGUGACUUGAUUGCACAGCACAGUCAGAUCGAUUGGUCGUCAGGGUAGCCUGCUGAACUUUGGGAUGGAGUUUGUUAUGCUUUGCAGUCAUUUUCCACCACUAUGUGGGCAUCUGAGGCAGGCACGCCUACUUGCAGGGCAGUGACCUUUAUACCUGUUUGCAAGGCAUGUCGGGAGGAGCCGAGUGCUGGGGAAUGUUUCUGGCCGCACUGAGAGGGAUGGACAGGGGAGCAGGCACAGAGGUGAUUGGAUGCUUGCAGGCUGGCUGCAAGCUGAGCUGGGCGGGACCCGUGCAGGAAGGGGGUAUUGUUGAGUUUGGUUCAAACCAAGCUUAGUUCCCCAUUACUGAAGUCUCAAGGGAAUGUGGAAGGAAUGUGGCUUUUCUGCAUUCAGACGCCCCUCUGUUGUAGAUUACAGCGGAGUGCACAGGGCCCGAGGAUCCCUGUUUGCAGAAAAGAAGCAUGCUUUGGACUUUGAGAUGGUGUUACACCCUCAGUUCCAAAAUCAAGAAAAGAUACAGCAUGGGAAGGCUUGAUAGCUUCCAGAGGCAGGCCUGAUUUUUUUUUUUUUUUUUUUUUUAACUCUCGGAUUUGAGGUGAGUGAGGAAGAAGUUUUGCCUAGGAAGGAUUGUAGCAGUCCUAGGAAGGAUUGUUUGGGAGGGCCUGUGGUGUCUGUAGGGCUUCUGGACUCUGCUGUUUGCUUAUGUACAAGGUACCGCUGCCCUGUUUUCGUUAUGCUGUGGGCUGUUGGGCACAAGAGAAGAAAUGUAAAGUUGCUGACACUGCACAACUGAGACAUGGUGGUUUUAGCUAAAUUUCCAUGACUUUCAGAUUCAUGAUCCCUUUUUUCCUAUUUUCAGUUUUUCACAGCCUACUCAUAUUUAAUCAGAGUUGUGAUUUAUUUAGCUAUUAACCUUGGUUAUAAAUAUUUGAGUAAAGGAGAAAAAAAAUCAUAAGAUGUUAUAGUUAAUAUGAACCAAGAAAGAUCCUUAGUUUGUGGUUCUAACACUCAAGUACUUCAUAUUCUUAACAAGAAGAUAAAGAGAACAACCUACUUUGAUACUGGAAUCUUGUGCUUGCAGUGUCAGUUGAGUAGAAGUUGCUGGGACGUUAAUUUCAUCUCACUGUAAGUGGCUAUUUAAAAACCUAGUGUGCUGCCUCAGUGGCUGUUAAGUGUAGAAUAGAAGGAUGCCCUGUGCCCAUUAGCCCAGGACGUUGUAACUGCUGGCUGUGGGGCCAGCUUCAGAGUCAGGAUAGCAAACACUGUUUUCAGCAUUGAACAUUUAAACACAAGCUAUUCCUUAGUGGUCUGGGACAGAUAGUCUCACUUUUGAAUCGUGGCUUAACGUUAGGGAACUUGGCUGGGGAGGAAUUUCAAGCAGAGUUAUCUUUUCAGUGCACAACAUAAACUUGGCACUGUGUGACUAAGUGCUUGUGGCUGGAGGGAUUUUUUGAUUUUUUUUUCCCCCAAUUUCCUACUUGUUCAAUAUAGUUAGAAUUUGUGAGAUUUCUUAUUUUGGCCUUAAAAGGAUCUUUUAGGAAGCAAAUGGAUGUUGCUAAGUAGCUUCUUCUAUGUUUUUUUCACAGUUGCCCUGAGAAAGAUGUUACUGAAAUAUCACAUGCAUCCGGAGCCAAUGGGAGUAGGGAGCCUGUCCUCUGAGCCAAUGGGAAUAGGGAGCCUGUCCUCUGAGCCAAUGGGAAUAGGGAGCCCGUCCUCUGAGCCAAUAGGAAUAGGGAGCCCAUCCUCAGAGCCAAUAGGAAUAGGGAGCCUGUCCUCAGCUCUUGGCCCUGGUUUUUUACCUUUGUGGCUGCUGAGACUCUUGUUCAGGACCAGACGCCUUUUGUGACAAACUCUAAGGGGCAUCAUUCGUUCCGAGGUUUGGGCACUUUCCUGGAAGCAAAUGGGUUCUUGGAUAGGCUUCAGAUUAAAAAUAUCUUUUGGAAGUACAGAGAUCCAGUGCUUUCCCUCUGUGGAGCUUCACUUGAAAAUUUCUGUAGCAGGGUAGUUACGUAGCUUUCCCCCACCUUUUUCCUGUGUACAACUUUCAGGCAGUCAGUGAGUGGAAAAUUAUCUUUGCCAUGCUUUGAAGCCCUUUGUGAGCCCCGCCGCUGUGUGUGUUGUCAUAGGCCCGGGAUCUUGAAUUAAAGCGAGGCUGUUGAACCACCUCCAUUUUGGUGAGAAACUCCCCUGCAGUUGUCCUUAGCAGCUUCCCUAGCAGUAACUAAUUCUUGACAGUCUGGAGCUCAAAGAAAUGAAGAAGGUGGAUGGAGACUGACUCAUGUGCUUGAAACCAUCAAAUUGUUCAAGAUCAUCAAGGGACUGAGCCUAAGGCUCUGUCGGAGGAGGGAGAAGCCACUGAAACAGGGUGAGCUAAUUCUCACACCAUGGUGAUGUGUGGGAUGAGAACUAGCUCAGUGCCAUACAAAGAAACUCACCAGCAAAGUGAAAGUAACUUGGCAAGGCAAGCUCUUUUUGUAAAAAGGAUUUGCCAGAGGGGUUGGAGAGAUAGACCAGUGGUUUAGAGCCCUGGCUCCUCUCCCAGAGGAUUCAGAUUUGGUUCCCAUCAUCUAUAUGGCAGCUCCAUAUAAGGUAACUCCAGCCCCAGCAGAUCCAAUGCUCCCUCUGUCCUCUGUAGGCACCAGGUGCCCAUGUGGUGCACAUAUGUAUAUACAGGUAAAAAGACUCAUACACAGAAAACAAAAGUAAACAAGUCUCUAAAUGAGUGGGGGAAAGGUGUGUGUAUGUGAGUAGAGACUAGGAACAGAGAUAGCCUUUGUGUUUCAUCCCUAACUGAGGUAGUGACUGUGUCUCAUCUCAUUGAUCAGAGUUUGACCUCACAGUCUGAUGUGAUUGGCUCUUCAGCAGGUAGGAGAAGGGGAAGAAGGAUCAGGGAGUAACGAGUCCUUUUUGGGUUCACUGCCUUGAUGGGAAAAAAAAAAAAAAAACACUUUCUUUACAAUGGUCAGAGGGAGUGUUUUGAGGAAAAGUUAAAUAGACUGGAAAAGGAGGUAUAGUCACCUGGGUUGGGUCCUGCUCAGGAGUUCCGUGCUGUAGAUGAGUAUGUGAGUUGAGGUGGUGUUAAAUCUCAGUCUUUGGUGCAGAGGAGAGGGCCCAACAUUUAAGCUCGUUUUUUUGCUAUUGCAGGGGACCCAGGACUCACAUGGUGGCUCGUAACCAUCUGUUACUCUAACAUCCAAUUCUGACCUGUAGGCGCCAGUCAUCUACAAGAUGCAUAGACACAUGUAGGCAAAACACUUAUACACAUAAAAUAAAACUGAAAACAAGAAUUUAAA